CGGGGUGUGGCGCAGUUGGUAGCGCGCGUGCUUUGGGAGCAUGAGGUCGAAGGUUCGAGUCCUUUCACCCCGACCA
rnacentral:tRNA from 1 species